GCGGGCAUGGUUAAGUGGUAUAACACGUCCUUGCCAAGGAUGAGUCGGGAGUUCGAUUCUCCCUGCCCGCA
rnacentral:tRNA from 1 species